GCCAGUGUGGCGUAGUGGUUUGAGUGUUGGACUGCGUAUCUGGAGACUAGGGUUCAAUUCCCAGUUCUGUCA